rnacentral:rRNA from 1 species
UACGGGGGGGGGGCAAGCGGUUGUUCGGAAUUACUGGGCGUAAAGGGCUCGUAGGCGGCCAACUAAGUCGGAUGUGAAAUCCCCAAGCUUAACUUGGGAACUGCAUCCGAUACUGGAUGGCUUGAAUCCGGGAGAGGGAUGCAGAAUUCCAGGUGUAGCGGUGAAAUGCGUAGAUAUCUGGAGGAAUACCGGUGGCGAAGGCGGCAUCCUGGACCGGCAUUGACGCUGAGGAGCGAAAGCUAGGGGGAGCAAACGGGG